AAAAAUAUGAUUUAAACUUCAUUUCAGUUCUUGUUUUUCCAUAUAUAAUUACGAAACAUGCGUAUGAGCGCAAAUGAUGAAUAAAAAACAAACUGGCGCUUCAUACGAAAGUCUGAGAAUUUUUAGCUGGUAGAACAUUUCUUUCUUUGUAUUGCACAUAUUUCUCCGCUAUAUUUAGCAAGUAGUUUCGUUACUCCGGAUUAAUGCAAUGGCGUCGAUCGACGAAAUCGUAACCAGAGUUUCAUGUCAUCUUUGCUGGGUUUGAUUCACAUCAUCUCUGUUGGGGGAGGUUUAAACGGCAGCUAGUUAAUAACAAUUUCGUUGCAUGUGUGGGAAAACAAUUGAUGCGAUUAUUGCGUGUAAUACAUCACAUAUGUAAUACUUCGUUAAUGCAAGAAGUAGAGGUCGUUCCCCAACGAAGUAUAAAACAUAUCUCGUGACCAGUGUGUAAGAAAUCCAUGGAAACAGCGAGUAGGCAGUUACUAAACGAGGAGAAAGGGUGGAUUAAAUAAUUGGCAGGCCACGAACGACACGCUUCGGCUCAUCAGUCGUAAAUUGAUCCAGAUAUCUCGAAUUUUGUCAUCUUCCUACACGAAUCGGCUCAAUUACAUACUUGGAACACGAUGAUUAAUUAGGACCGUGACUGCUGGAAUUUCUGAUAACAUCAUUAUUAAGAAUGUAACGUGAAACUGUUCCACAUUCUGUUUCCCUAAAUCGACAUAAAGAAUAAUAUGAUAAUUUUCUUCACAAAGAGAAUUAAUCAAUUUUCUUGCGAAUAUUUCGUAUAUGUAUAAUUGUAAUAUUUAAGUAACAAAGAUAAGAUCGAUAGAAAGAUAUUAAUUUAUGAGAACGGAAUUUGGAUGACGAUGGUGGAACGAAAUGCACCAGUGAUGACACUUACAAGAUAUGAUAUGAUACACAGAUGUUGCGAAUAUGUUCUGGAGAUUCUUAAGAAAUUUUCUUAUCGGAAGUAUGAACAAAGCGUCUUGAUAUUCCAUGACAUUAACGUACCUCAUCUUAAUUCGUGUCUAAUUACAAUGAAACGUCGGUUAAUUCAGGAUCAUUACCAAUAUUGAUUUCUUCGAAACCAAAAGACAGUUUACAUGUCAGCCGUUAUAAUCUACUUCCUGUGUUAUUAACACGCUGCUCGAUUACUGAUAACGAUAACCUGAGGAGGCUGUUCUUAGAGCCAGCAAGUAUCAAAUUCAAUGAUUCCGGGUCGUCAAAUGAGGUCGGAAUUGGAGAUAUCUGGUUGUAACAAUAAUGUGAAGCCCGUUGACAAUAAAAUUCCACGCUAGAGGACUUUUUCGUGGAACGUCAUAUGGGAAACCAUUCCAGUCCUUGACCAUUCAAACGUUCGUUCGAGAUAAACAAUAUUGCAGAAUGUGUUUAUAUAACAUAUUGUAAUAUACACGAUCGAAUUACUGUUCGGAAGUAUAUUGAUUGUAAGCUUCAAGUUUGAUCGACUGUUUUUAAUACGGUUGAGCGUCCUGUGUAACACAUGCAUAUAAUAGCUAACUAUUUGAUAAGCAUUUUCCUUGACAAUGUUUAAGGUAAUAAUUAAUAGCAUUAAAAUGUGUGUUAUACGAUAAUUAAUAAUAAGAAAGGCCUUUUUUAAAUUCUAUUAUACCUCUAAGGAAGUUUGUUUAUUAUAGUAUCUUUCUGUACUCCACUGUCUAAUGCAGUAGAAAUUUGAAAUAUUUUUUUAGAAAUACAUAUUAGUAAUUUACGUGUAAUAAUACCGCAGGACAUUCAAUUAUCAUUCAAACAGCUUAUGAUUAGAUGUAAUAGUUAUAUAUUGAUAAGUUUGUGAUUGAUC